AUUGAACGCUGGCGGCAUGCCUUACACAUGCAAGUCGAACGGUAACGCGGGGCAACCUGGCGACGAGUGGCGAACGGGUGAGUAAUGCAUCGGAACGUGCCCAGUAGUGGGGGAUAGCCCGGCGAAAGCCGGAUUAAUACCGCAUACGACCUACGGGUGAAAGGGGGGGAUCGCAAGACCUCUCGCCAUGGGAGCGGCCGAUGUCAGAUUAGGUAGUUGGUGGGGUAAAGGCCUACCAAGCCGACGAUCUGUAGCUGUCUGAGAGGACGACCAGCCACACUGGGACUGAGACACGGCCCAGACUCCUACGAGAGGCAGCAGUGGGGAAUUUUGGACAAUGGGCGCAAGCCUGAUCCAGCCAUGCCGCGUGCGGGAAGAAGGCCUUCGGGUUGUAAACCGCUUUUGCCAGGGAAGAAAUCUUCUGGGUUAAUACCUCGGGAGGAUGACGGUACCUGAAGAAUAAGCACCGGCUAACUACGUGCCAGCAGCCGCGGUAAAAC
rnacentral:rRNA from 1 species